AACGAACGCUGGCGGCAUGCCUAACACAUGCAAGUCGAACGAGACCUUCGGGUCUAGUGGCGCACGGGUGCGUAACGCGUGGGAACCUGCCCUUAGGUUCGGAAUAACUCCCCGAAAGGGGUGCUAAUACCGGAUAAUGUCUUCGGACCAAAGAUUUAUCGCCUUUGGAUGGGCCCGCGUUGGAUUAGCUAGUUGGUAGGGUAAAAGCCUACCAAGGCGACGAUCCAUAGCUGGUCUGAGAGGCUGAUCAGCCACACUGGGACUGAGACACGGCCCAGACUCCUACGGGAGGCAGCAGUGGGGAAUAGUGGACAAUGGGCGAAAGCCUGAUCCAGCAAUGCCGCGUGAGUGAUGAAGGCCUUAGGGUUGUAAAGCUCUUUUACCCGGGAUGAUAAUGACAGUACCGGGAGAAUAAGCUCCGGCUAACUCCGUG
rnacentral:rRNA from 1 species